GGCGCGACGGGGAGGCGCGGGCCCGGCCUUGCGGGUGCGGGGAGUGCGGCGGCGCGGGGGCGUGAACUAAGCCCGCGGCCUAUCGCCCCCGCCCUCGGGGACCGUUCCGAGUUAGCCUCACACGCCCUGGCCCGGCCGCGCAAGGUUCUCCUAGGCCCCGGCACUCCCUGAGAGGAGACCCCACGCGAACGGCCGUCCAGCAGCUCCUUGGUUCCUCCCACUAAUAGCAGCUCACUAUCGCCGCUUUGAAAGUUCUUAAUGCCCCCUUAUUCAUUCACUAAACAAAUGUUCGUUUACCCAGCACCUACUCUAUGGCAAAGACUGGGCACACCCUGGGCCGGAGAGGAAGCAGGGCCAACGCACUGGUUUAGCUAAAGACUGGUUUUGCCAUGACGAAACCAAGCCCCAAGGCUUGAUGUUCUAGGAUUCUUUCUCUGGGAGCCUUCCUACCUCUGCCUGCUGAGUUGGUACCUGGAAAGAGAGCUUCCCGGACUUGCUGCCAGACACCAGACUUUAAAUCCUGACCUCACCACUUGCUGGCUAUCUGACCUUGGGCAAAUUAUUCGAAUUUUUUGGGGCCUCAUUUUCCUUAUCUGUAAAAUGAGUAGGUGCUAUAAUAAUGAUAUUAAUCUUAUAAGGUUGUUGUGAAGAUUGAGCUAAUAAUGCAUGUGCAGCACCUACCACAUAGAAAGUGCUCGGUGUGGGGCAGUUGCCUGUAUUUUUGCCUCCUACAAGAUGAUGAGUUCCACAGCUUAGUUAUGGAAAGCAGGCAGGCCUUUAACAGGAUUGUGGAAUGUCAGAGCUAGAAAGGACCUCUGGAGAUCUUCUACAGAAGAAUCCUUUUAGAGAAAGAGAAAAUUAGUCCCUGGGGGACUAGGUGAACUGCUGAUGGUUCCAGAAGGCAAUCAGUGACAGAAGAAAUAGAAUCCUGAGGGGUCCCUGGGUCUCAGGACUCUAAGCUUUGCUAAACAAGUCUGUGGGGCUGCCAACCCUCAUUGGGUCAUUCCACACUAACCUGAUGUCAAUAACUGUCAAUUACAGACACAAGGUGACUGUACUGAGGUUUACAGUUUAUAAUGAGCAUUUGCAAACUUGGUCCAGUGGGAGCCUUACUCCAGGCCUGGAACUAGUGAGUCCUGGAAUGAAAUCCCAUUUCAUGAAGAGAAACAAAGGCCCCCAAGGGUGGAUUGGUACCAAGGUCCUAAGUAGGGGUUCAGAAGUUCCUUGACUACUCUGGAAGAUGAGGGAGUUCCUGUUCAAAAUAAGAUUAAGACAGUGUAAAAUGGCUGCCUUUGGAAAAGUUCUUGAGCUGCAGACAAGUCAACUACUAACUCCAAGGAGGGCAGAAAGGAAACCGGUUGCUGUGGCAACAUCUCUGCCGGCCUAUUUUCUUCUCCCUCUAGUUCAAAAUAACAGCUUCCAGCAGGUUCGGGGAACAGCGGAGAGGGAGGAAUGUCUAACUCCAACCCAGCAACUGCACUUAGCCAAUCUCCAGCCAGAUUAAGUGGCAAGAGGAAGGUGUCAGCCAAUGAAGAGGCUUGGAGCUUGUGUCAUCCUCCCGGAACCAGGUUGGAAUAACCAGAAGGUGGAGCACAUGACUGUUUCCAUGGUGACCUCCCUUAGCAACCUGACUGGUCCUAUUUAUGAGCACUGGAAAAUUCCAUUUGGCUAAGACCUGAUUUUGUUACCUUCUCUGCCUCCUUCCUGUUCCAAAGCCCAAUGAAGUCACUGCGGAUAUUUAACCCUUUCCCUAGAUGUGCCUGGGUCCUGUCAGAUCUGAGGGCCUGGCAGGUGGGCUGUGUGCCCUGCUCUGGGCUUAGUGCUGCAGGGGAGGGAAGGUGCUGUCUGGUAGUGACAGCCACCCUUUAUAGGGCACGACGUUUGAGCCGGGCACUGUAGUAAGGUGCUGACAACCUCACAAUCAUGACAACGGGUACCAUACAGAUCAUUCCCAUUUCACUGAGGAAAAAACUUGAUCCAGAGAGGUUAAGUAACUUCCCAAUGUCACACAGAGUACAGACAGCAAGUGGAAGAACAAGGCUCGGACCAAGUGUGUGGGACUCUUGGGGCCACUCUCUUCGUGACUCCUCUGUGUAAUGCUUUCAGUGUUGAAGGACCCGAUGGGGUAGAGGAUGGGAGGGAGACAUCCAUGGUCUUCAAGGGACUUCAGGGGAGCUUCAGCGAGGAGGGUGACAUUUAGGCUGUGUGGAAGAACGGGGGGAAAAAAAAGCAGGUUCAGGACACUCCAGGUGCCAGGCUGGAGCUGAGGGUCGGUGAGUGAGACCAGACAGACCCCAGAGGGACGGCUUUGGCCAGGGCCCAAGACUCUCAGCCUCUAGAACUGGCUAUGCCUGGCAUUCUGGCUGGGAACAAGGAGGGAGUCGAGCCUAUACACAUUUCCUGCCCGAAUUCUACUGGGGUCGUGCUGGCUUGGGCUGGGGGCAGAUCUGGGGAACCAGCAGCUGGAAAGUAGAGGCCCCCCUAUGCCAGCCCAAGCCAGAGGCCACACAGGAUCAACUGCGUGGAUGCUGCAGAACCCACAUGUAGAGCUGCUCUCAGCUGGGGCAGGGCUACAGGAAGACUGGGACUCUGUUUUCAAGGAUAUAAAGUAAAAAGGAUAAACAAAUAUGCCAUAGUUUAAGAUAACAACAGAUGAGUCCCUGGGAAAAGGGUGUGGUCACAGGAGUGCUGCUGAGGUCACUGGACCAUUAUGUCUGCAGGACAGACUGACCAUUCAGACACAUCAGAGACCAUGGAGGGGCCAAGGAAAGCACAGCAGACUGUUCUCAGCCUGGGAGAGGAGGUGCGUAGACAGUCUCCACUAAGGACUGGCUGUGGCCAGAGGGAAGAGGACAGCAGAGCAGGUGGAAAGUCACAGAGAGAGGGGCAGAGACACAGGCAGAGGGAGAAGCAGGCUCCACGCACCAGGAGCCCAACGUGGGAUUCAAUCCCGGGUCUCCAGGAUCACACCCUGGACCAAAGGCAGGUGCCAAACCGCUGCGCCACCCAGGGAUCCUCUUGCAGAGCUCUUAAAUUGCAAAGAUGAAGCUAAAACAGCUCCCCCCAAGGCAUGUCCAGCCCUUUGUUGUCAGUCUGUCCUCUAACAGCCCGUGGCCCUCCAGAAAGAUCCACAAACAGGCUGCAAGGCCUAGCACCAAGGACAUUAUGUGGUGAAUAAACUAAAAAAGGAACUAGCAGCAGGGAGCUCAUGGGCUGGGGGUGGGGGACUGUUCUAAGAUGCCUUCUCCUUCAUUCCCCCUUCAAACCGAAUCCUCUGUGUUUCAGAGGAGGGUAGUGAGAAGAUGGAUGCUUCUCGCAGAAAGACACUUCAGUGGCAUUUUCCUGCUGCCAGAGCUGGCUGCUGUGCAAAGACAGGGAGCCAAAUGUUUGCACCAUUUUUGUUCCGGAGAUGAGUUCUGGGUAGGUGGGUAGCAGUAGGGGGCUGGGAACUGCAAAUUCCUAGAGUCUUUAAAAAACAAAAAAGUUGAUUUAUCAGGG